GUCAAUGGGAAACGAUGUACAGUCAGCUGAAAUUGAUCACACUUCAUUUCCCAUCAAUUGUCAAGCCAAAUUGUGGAUAAAGUCAUAAGUAAAGGAUCAUUGCCUGCCAUUCUUGGGACCGCGUUUCCCUACCCCUUCCACUUACUUAGACCCCAGGCUGAUCAAUAAAAAAAAUAACACCAUCCUCAAGUCUUCAAUAGCCCUACAUGGCCAAAAGGGGGAUGGGAUAUUGCACUGAAAAUGAGGUCUUCAGCAACUUAAACAUGUCCUUCUUAAUUGAGCAUGAAGAAAUUAAGGCACAGGGAAGGUGAGAAAUUUGCCGAAGUCGGCAAUUGGUGAUUUCCAAGUUCCCUGUGCCGUGUUUAUCAAGACCUCAGAAGGGGCCAGAGAGUGGAGAAGGCACCUGCUUCUUAAGUUCUCCGAUGACCUCUGCUCCGAUUUCAUUGGGAGGCUCAAGACCCGCUUAGGGGCACGGGGACAAGGAAUGUGACUUGUGACCGAGCAGCCACUUCCAUCUAUGACUACACUGGGGAAAGGAAACAUGAAUUUUGGUGAAAGUCUAUCACACCUGAAUGAGGAAAAAAAAGCUUAUUUACCCUUCAGCAAUAACUUUUCAGAGCAGUCUAGCACCUCACUUUGAAGCAUGGUUGAGGAAUGAGUUUUAUGAACAAAUGAGGCUUAAAAUAAAAUAAC